UUAUUAAGAGCCCAAAUUUCUUGGCAGAG
rnacentral:piRNA from 1 species